CCCUUAGAUGUUCUGGGCCGCACGCGUGCUACACUGAGUGGAUCAGCGGGUCAGGUUGCGCGAAAGUGUUUCCUAAUCUUGAAAUCCGCUCGUGAUGGGGAUUGACGGUUGCAAUUUUCCGUCAUGAACGAGGAAUACCUUGUAAGCGCGGGUCAUCAUCCCGCGCUGAAUACGUCCCUGCCCUUUGUACACACCGCCCGUCGCUCCUACCGAUUGAGUGGUCCGGUGAGGCUUUGGGAUCUGAGCAAAGAGAGCGUUUCGCUCGUUUUGCCGGAAAACUCAGUCGAACCUUAUCAUUUAGAGGAAGGAGAAGUCGUAACA
rnacentral:rRNA from 1 species